rnacentral:rRNA from 1 species
AGAGUUUGAUCCUGGCUCAGGAUGAACGCUGGCGGCGUGCCUAAUACAUGCAAGUCGAACGCACGAUCAAGCUUGCUUGAGAGUGAGUGGCGAACGGGUGAGUAAUACAUAAGCAACCUGCCCACGAAGACCGGGAUAACUUCUGGAAACGGGAACUAAGACCGGAUAGGUAUAGAGAAGGCAUCUUCUUUAUAUUAAAGGUGAGAAACACUGGUGGAUGGGCUUAUGGCGCAUUAGUUAGUUGGUGAGGUAACGGCCCACCAAGACGAUGAUGCGUAGCCGGCCUGAGAGGGUGAACGGCCACAUUGGGACUGAGACACGGCCCAGACUCCUACGGGAGGCAGCAGUAGGGAAUUUUCGGCAAUGGGGGCAACCCUGACCGAGCAACGCCGCGUGAGUGAAGACGGCCUUCGGGUUGUAAAGCUCUGUUGUAAGGGAAGAACGGCAUGGAGAGGAUCCAUGAGUGACGGUACCUUACCAGAAAGCCGCGGCUAACUACGUGCCAGCAGCCGCGGUAAUACGUAGGUGGCGAGCGUUAUCCGGAAUUAUUGGGCGUAAAGGGUGCGCAGGCGGCCUGUUAAGUUUAAGGUAAAAUCGUUGGGCUCAACCCAAUCCGGCCUUAGAUACUGGCAGGCUAGAGUACUGGAGAGGGAAGUGGAAUUCCAUGUGUAGCGGUAAAAUGCGUAGAUAUAUGGAGGAACACCGGUGGCGAAGGCGGCUUCCUAGACAGAGACUGACGCUCAGGCACGAAAGCGUGGGGAGCAAAUAGGAUUAGAUACCCUAGUAGUCCACGCUGUAAACGAUGAAUGCUAGGUAUUGGGGCGACUCAGUGCCGAAACUAACGCGAUAAGCAUUCCGCCUGUGAGUAUGCACGCAAGUGUGAAACAUAAAGGAAUUGACGGGGGCC